CGGCCAGCUCGGGCAGCGGCACCCACGCCACCUGCGAGGUGGUGCCGCCGACCUCGGUGACCCGUGGCUCCGCGGCCGGGUCGGCCGC
rnacentral:tRNA from 1 species